rnacentral:rRNA from 1 species
UAAUCGAGCUUGAUUCGGGCUCGGCCCGAUCCUCCCACCCUUUGUGUACCUACCUCUGUUGCUUUGGCGGGCCGCGGUCCUCCGCGGCCGCCCCCCUCCCCGGGGGGGUGGCCAGCGCCCGCCAGAGGACCAUCAAACUCCAGUCAGUAAACGAUGCAGUCUGAAAAACAUUUAAUAAACUAAAACUUUCAACAACGGAUCUCUUGGUUCUGGCAUCGAUGAAGAACGCAGCGAAAUGCGAUAAGUAAUGUGAAUUGCAGAAUUCAGUGAAUCAUCGAAUCUUUGAACGCACAUUGCGCCCUUUGGUAUUCCGAAGGGCAUGCCUGUUCGAGCGUCAUUACAACCCUCAAGCUCUGCUUGGUAUUGGGCACCGUCCUUUGCGGGCGCGCCUCAAAGACCUCGGCGGUGGCGUCUUGCCUCAAGCGUAGUAGAACAUACAUCUCGCUUCGGAGCGCAGGGCGUCGCCCGCCGGACGAACCUUCUGAACUUUUCUCAAGGUUGACCUCGGAUCAGGUAGGGAUACCCGCUGAACUUAAGCAUAUCAUAAGUCGGAGGAAC